rnacentral:rRNA from 1 species
GGCUCAGGACGAACGCUGGCGGCGCGCCUCAUACAUGCAAGUCGAGCGAGAACCAGGGCUUGCCCUGGGGAGAGCGGCGAACGGGUGCGUAUCACGUGAGCAACCUGCCCCGAAGACCGGGAUAACUCGAGGAAACUCGGGCUAAUACCGGAUGUCCUCGGUGGACCGCAUGGUCCGGCGAGGAAAUGGAUUCCGCUUCGGGAUGGGCUCGCGGCCUAUCAGCUUGUUGGUGGGGUAACGGCCUACCAAGGCGACGACGGGUAGCUGGUCUGAGAGGACGAUCAGCCACACUGGGACUGAGACACGGCCCAGACUCCUACGGGAGGCAGCAGUAGGGAAUCUUGCGCAAUGGGCGAAAGCCUGACGCAGCGACGCCGCGUGCGGGAUGAAGGCCUUCGGGUCGUAAACCGCUUUCAGCAGGGACGAAAUUGACGGUACCUGCAGAAGAAGGCCCGGCCAACUACGUGCCAGCAGCCGCGGUGAUACGUAGGGGUCUAGCGUUGUCCGGAAUCAUUGGGCGUAAAGAGCUCGUAGGCGGUUCGGCAAGUCGGAUGUGAAAUCUCCACGCUCAACGUGGAGGGGCCAUUCGAAACUGCCGUGACUCGAGUCCGGUAGGGGAGUGCGGAAUUCCCGGUGUAGCGGUGAAAUGCGCAGAUAUCGGGAGGAACACCAGUGGCGAAGGCGGCACUCUGGGCCGGAACUGACGCUGAGGAGCGAAAGCGUGGGGAGCGAACAGGAUUAGAUACCCUGGUAGUCCACGCCGUAAACGUUGGGCACUAGGUGUGGGGCUCUAUCGACGGGUUCCGUGCCGUAGCUAACGCAUUAAGUGCCCCGCCUGGGGAGUACGGCCGCAAGGCUAAAACUC